UGGGGAAUUUUGCACAAUGGAGGCAACUCUGAUGCAGCGACGCCGCGUGAACGAAGAAGGCUUUCGAGUCGUAAAGUUCUUUUAUAUGGGAAGAUAAUGACGGUACCAUAAGAAAAAGCCCCUGCUAACUACGUGCCAGCAGCCGCGGUAAUACUUAGGGGGCUAGCGUUGUCCGGAAUCACUGGGCGUAAAGGGUUCGCAGGCGGAAAUGCAAGUCAGGUGUAAAAGGCAGUAGCUUAACUACUGUAAGCAUUUGAAACUGCAUAUCUUGAGAAGAGUAGAGGUAAGUGGAAUUUUUAGUGUAGCGGUGAAAUGCGUAGAUAUGAAAAAGAAUACCGGUGGCGAAGGCGACUUACUGGGCUCAUUCUGACGCUGAGGAACGAAAGCGUGGGUAGCAAACAGG
rnacentral:rRNA from 1 species